rnacentral:pre_miRNA from 1 species
AAAAAGACAAACCCUGGUUCCAGUGUCCAACAUUUGACUGUCUGUCUUAUUUAAAAAAAUUAUGAAAAAAAAUUAAAAAGAUAAGUCACGCAUAAAGUAUUAAUCAUAUUUUAUCAUCUAACAACAAUGAAAAUACUAAUUAUAAAAAAAAUUCAUAUAAGACGGAUGGUCAAAUGUUGGCACGGAAAUCCAGGGUUUGUCUUUUU